AGCUCCAAUAGCGUAUAUUAAAGUUGUUGCAGUUAAAAAGCUCGUAGUUGGAUUUGGGACGGGGGUCGCGCGGUCGGCCGCAAGGUCUGCUACUGUGCGGCCUCGUCAUUUACACUCUCGGAGACCCGUCGUGCACUUCGCUGUGCGCGGCGCGGGACUCGGGACGUUUACUUUGAAAAAAUUAGAGUGUUCAAAGCAGGCUUCAUCAAGCCCGGAUACAUGAGCAUGGAAUAAUGGAAUAGGACCGCGGUUCUAUUUUGUUGGUUUCUACGACCGCAGUAAUGAUUAAGAGGGACAAUUGGGGGCGUCCGUAUUUCGUUGUCAGAGGUGAAAUUCUUGGAUUUACGAAAGACGAACAACUGCGAAAGCAUUCGCCAAGAGUGUUUUCAUUAAUCAAGAA
rnacentral:rRNA from 1 species